rnacentral:lncRNA from 1 species
GAUCUCUAGCAUUUCCUUUUUUAUUCUUUUUUUAGAAUUUCCAUCUUUCUGCUUACAUUAUAAUCUGUUCUUGUAUACUCUCUACUUUUUUCAUUAGAGACCUCUACAUACUUAUCAUAGUUUUUAAGAAUUUUUCAUUUGAUAAUUCCAACAUUCCUCCCAUUUCUGACUCUGGCUCUGAUGCUUGUUCAGUCACUCAGACUGUGUUUUUUUGUCUUUUAGUGUGCAUUGCCAUUUUUGUUGAAAGGUGGACAUGCUGUACUGGGUGCAAAGAACUGAGGUGUUAUCACCUGAAAAUACUAAAAUAAAAAUAAAAUCACUUAUCAUAUUUGUAUCAUAGAUGAAUGAUUAUUGUAUAUUUUAAGUGCAACAAAUGCAUUGUCACCAAAAGGAAAAUUUUAGUCUGUUCCAUCAUUUUCUAUUUUUUGAUAAAGUGUUCACUGUAACUGGUAUCUCUUGUAGUACUAAUAAGAAGCAGUAAUAAGUAGUAAGUAGUAAUAAGUAGUAAUACAAAUGAAUGAGACAGUACCCAUUUGGUGCCAAGCUUUUGGGAGAGAGAAGCAAAGUUUGGGAAGAAGCAAAAAGAAGAAAAACAAAAACAAAAACAAAUCAGACCUGGAUGUGAGUUCAGACUUCAAAGUGUUUACCAACUGGCCAGAGUUGCAUGUACAUAAGUCACUGUAAUUUAAACCAGAAAAAUAUAAUUACUAUCAAGUAUGUGCUGAGUGAGUUCAAGGAAAAAGAGAUUUCCCAUGUUGUGGGGAUUAGAAAAGUUGCUGAAAUACAAGCCCAAAUGCAUGUGCCAGGAGAGGUUUUACUGUAUUAGUCAGAUGCCAGCUGGAAAUAAUUCACUGCAGAUGGUUCUUGU